rnacentral:rRNA from 1 species
GACGAACGCUGGCGGCGUGCUUAUCACAUGCAAGUCGAACGGUGAAGCUCCAGCUUGCUGGAGUGGAUCAGUGGCGAACGGGUGAGUAACACGUGAGCAACCUGCCCCUGACUCUGGAAUAAGCGCUGGAAACGGCGUCUAAUACUGGAUACGAGAAGGGUCCGCAUGGGCACUUUCUGGAAAGUUUUUCGGUUGGGGAUGGGCUCGCGGCCUAUCAGCUUGUUGGUGAGGUAAUGGCUCACCAAGGCGACGACGGGUAGCCGGCCUGAGAGGGCGACCGGCCACACUGGGACUGAGACACGGCCCAGACUCCUACGGGAGGCAGCAGUGGGGAAUAUUGCACAAUGGGCGAAAGCCUGAUGCAGCGACGCCGCGUGAGGGAUGACGGCCUUCGGGUUGUAAACCUCUUUCAGCAGGGAAGAAGCGAAAGUGACGGUACCUGCAGAAGAAGCACCGGCUAACUACGUG